UCUCAUAGAUCUAUUCCAGAUUGAAUAGUUUUCAAUACCAGUUAAUUGAAAAGAAAUGAUUUGAAUUCCACUUACAUCUGUUAGAGACAAGAAACAAUUGGAUUUCCAGAGUUUUGAGUCACACGUUCCCCUAUGCUCAGAUUUGCAGAGUUCAGCUCUAAUUGUUCUCCAAUCGACCCCAUUGCUUCUUGAAUUUUAAAAUUCAGAUAUGGCUUUUGUUACUGGUAUAAACUCGAUGAAUUUACAAGCUUCAAUUUCUAAGCUUGUGAAGCUCUGAUACCAUAUUGCAAUUAAAUAAAGAGGAGAAAUGUAAACUUGCUAUGAAGAAGACGAAGAGAGAGAGAGAGAGAGG
rnacentral:lncRNA from 1 species